rnacentral:rRNA from 1 species
CCUACGGGGGGCUGCAGUGGGGAAUAUUGCACAAUGGGGGAAACCCUGAUGCAGCGACGCCGCGUGAGCGAGGAAGUAUUUCGGUAUGUAAAGCUCUGUCAGCAGGGAAGAAGAAUGACGGUACCUGAAGAAGAAGCACCGGCUAAAUACGUGCCAGCAGCCGCGGUAAUACGUAUGGUGCAAGCGUUAUCCGGAUUUACUGGGUGUAAAGGGAGCGUAGACGGCGAUGCAAGUCUGAAGUGAAAGGCGGGGGCCCAACCUCCGGACUGCUUUGGAAACUGUAUGGCUGGAGUGCAGGAGAGGUAAGUGGAAUUCCUAGUGUAGCGGUGAAAUGCGUAGAUAUUAGGAGGAACACCGGCGGCGAAGGCGGCCUGCUGGACCGCGACUGACGUUGAGGCUCGAAAGCGUGGGGAGCGAACAGGAUUAGAUACCCUAGUAGUC